GCUCCGGUGGGAGACCGAGUCGAAGAAGAGUCAGACCUCGUUUGGGUCGGCAGCAAAGACAAGGCACGGCUAGGUUGAGAGGAAUAAAAGAACUCCAUGGACAGAAGAAGAACACAGAACUACGGUGAUGCGCAUAGCCUCCUGACAAACGUAGGCAAAAACGCUCAAGAACAUGUUUGGAGCAAUGCACAGACAGCAUGUUUUUUGGAUUGAUGUUGCUGCUGUAUUGUUUUUGGAAACAGAAACAUUUUGGCAAUUUCGAUGGAAAUGAGACUAAAUCUUGUGGUCUGAUCGCCUUUCAUCAGUGUUAGUUGUUUUACCAGUUUUCCACCUCCAUCUCCUCUUCCUAAAUUAAUUGUUGAAGUAGCUUGGUGUUUCUAGUCAUCUUUACACAACUCUUCAUGUGAAACCUGCUUAUUCCAGAAGUUGAUAGAUUUUUCCAUGGUCUAACUAAAACCUGGUAAUCUGAAAUUUGGGAAUAAGAUGAUCAUGUUCUUAUAAUAGCAUUUUCUAUUGUAUGGUAUAAUGACCUUUAAG